ACGUAGUGGCUACCACGGAGAGGCGGCUACGACGUAGNGUUCAUGAUUGGGGUG
rnacentral:rRNA from 1 species